AGGUUAUUGGUGAACUGAACGGAAACAAUAUAGAGGAUGUCAUUGCUCAGGGUAACGGCAAACUUGCCAGCGUGCCAGUUGGUGGAGCUGUAGCAGUCUCAGCUGGACCAGGUUCUGCUGCUCCUGCUGCUGCACCUGCUGCUGGUGAG